rnacentral:lncRNA from 1 species
CUGCUACUGAGUCCCCGAAGCAAGGCCUCGGUGACGGCUAGAGGCGGUGGAGACGACGGGGAAAAGAAUUCAGGACUCAAAUCAACCGGACCGGGUUUGGAAGAGAUUAGUCAAUCAAGAAGCCGCCCGGAAAAGAACUCAAAAGGCAAAAAUGAGAGGUGGGAAGGGAAAGAGUUCUUCAGAUCCUCCAGUGCCCAACUUCCUUAGAAGCCAGGUGAGCAACGAGACUCGCACCGCCCCUGCCUCCUCCACCCGCCCCAACUCACUCCGGGCCUAAGCAGCCGCCCGAGACCUCACUUACCCUCGGCGCCUGGCGGGUGCUUUGGCCUCGGGCCGCCUCCGCCUCUCCCGCUCCCAACGGCCCACGGGCGGACGCGGGAGCCCCGCGCGAGAGAACAGUGCCGACCGGUGCGCCAAGAGAGGCGAGGGGCUGUGCUGCCGUCACAGUCCGCCGCUCCGCUUCGGUAAAUAGGAAGCCCGGUCGAGGGGGGGGGGGGUGAGCGGCGGCCCCGCAACUUCCCUCCCCACCUCGGGCGCGCCGGCCGGACAGGGCCUAGGCCUCCCUGGCGGCCGC